UGCAAGUCGAACGAUGAACCUCCUUCGGGAGGGGAUUAGUGGCGAACGGGUGAGUAACACGUGGGCAAUCUGCCCUGCACUCUGGGACAAGCCCUGGAAACGGGGUCUAAUACCGGAUACGACUCGGGAGGGCAUCCUUCCGGGUGGAAAGCUCCGGCGGUGCAGGAUGAGCCCGCGGCCUAUCAGCUUGUUGGUGGGGUGAUGGCCUACCAAGGCGACGACGGGUAGCCGGCCUGAGAGGGCGACCGGCCACACUGGGACUGAGACACGGCCCAGACUCCUACGGGAGGCAGCAGUGGGGAAUAUUGCACAAUGGGCGAAAGCCUGAUGCAGCGACGCCGCGUGAGGGAUGACGGCCUUCGGGUUGUAAACCUCUUUCAGCAGGGAAGAAGCGCAAGUGACGGUACCUGCAGAAGAAGCGCCGGCUAACUACGUGCCAGCAGCCGCGGUAAUACGUAGGGCGCAAGCGUUGUCCGGAAUUAUUGGGCGUAAAGAGCUCGUAGGCGGCUUGUCGCGUCGGAUGUGAAAGCUCGGGGCUUAACCCCGGGUCUGCAUUCGAUACGGGCAGGCUAGAGUGUGGUAGGGGAGAUCGGAAUUCCUGGUGUAGCGGUGAAAUGCGCAGAUAUCAGGAGGAACACCGGUGGCGAAGGCGGAUCUCUGGGCCAUUACUGACGCUGAGGAGCGAAAGCGUGGGGAGCGAACAGGAUUAGAUACCCUGGUAGUCCACGCCGUAAACGUUGGGAACUAGGUGUUGGCGACAUUCCACGUCGUCGGUGCCGC
rnacentral:rRNA from 1 species